AAACAUUUGAAUAACUAAUGUGCUUGUAGAUUGGGUUCAUUUGUUUUUGCAAAUGAAGUUUUGUCAUUUCUGUUUAGAUUUUAACGUAUCAGAUAAAUGAGUAAAAUUGUGGUAGAAGGGUUAAUCUAUUGUCAAAGUGGUUUAUCUUUGGAAUAAACUUUAAGCACAUAGUCUGAUCUUUAGCAGCACAAUAGGAGUCUAGUUGACGUUCAGAGGCAAAGUUCUUUCAGAAUAGAUUAAAAAUAUUUUUAUUGCAUUUUAUACCAUUGUUGUCAUAUUUGGAAGAAGGUGCACCAAAUGAUAGAAAUGAUGAAUGUCACGUUUGACUUUCUUGCUUUUUUUUAUUCAAGUUAAGCUGCUGCAGCAAGAGGAUCCUAUUUGACAGAGAGUGGAUUGUAUUGUGAAAGGAACUUUUAUGUGCUGCAGUGCUGGCUCUCAUAGAGGUAAAGGUUGCAAACCACUGAUGUAGAAGAUGGAUGGAUGAUGCACCCAUAUAUAUAUCAGUCAAAAUGUUUCUCAUAAAUCUACAUAGCCGACAGAAGGCACAUAUUGCAAAGAUAAGGAAACAAAAACAGACAAAGCAAAAGAACUAUUAACAUUUUUGGCUCUAGAUAAAGUUUCAAAUGCUGGUAUGUAGGCAUGUGCAGAAUCCAUGUAACAUUUCUAACAAAUGUGUUCUUUUAAACACAAAACAUGUUGAAAUUAAGAUUUAUAACACAACACACGAAAGAUAAACUGAAUAAAAUCAAAUUUUAAAGGAAAAAUUACAUUAUAAAUUGACAAAUAAUGGAUUUUUAAUCUUGUCAUUAUUAUUAUCAACAUUAUUAAAUUGGGAGAAAUAGUUUGAGACUCUAAGGUAGUUGUGAGCAUUCAUCUGUUUAGCUCAUGUUCAGUUUUAGCUUCUUGUGCUGCCAAUGUUCCUGCUCUGCUCCCUGUCCGACUCACGCCUGGUUUCUGUUAGUAAUCAUCACAGAUGAUCCAGAUUCACUGAUCAUGACAUGGAGUCUGUUUGAGACCAUGCUUGUAGAAAGGGGCUCUGGCAUAAUUCAUGAUUUGUUUUACUCCAACUCCAAGGUGCCCUGGGGUGCCUUCUAGUGGCUAAGCCACUCUAAAUAGAGUCAAUUCACUGCUUUUGGUAUUCCACCAUCAACUACUGGGGAAGGAGUUUAAUAUCUGCAUCUUCAGUCCAUCCUCACAAAAACGGGAAAAUUCUCUGAAGAAAACAAAGUUGCUGCUCCAACAGAAACCAACAUCUCUAAACUCUGUGAAGUGAAGUGAAAAGUCAAAGCUACAAGUAUCAGGUCUGGACUAACUCCUUCAAAUACAGCAGACGAUGGAGCUGAGGCAGCAUUCAGACACGCCUCACAGGAGUAAUUGGGAAAGACUUCUCGUCUCUGACGUUGGAGACAAACCUGUGAAGUAGCUGCUGUGAUUUUACUCUUUCUGCCAGCAAAAUUCCUCAAGUGCUACAGUGUCACUAAACAAUGAAAAACUCUUCAUCUUUAUCAGCCGGAUCCUGCUUGUAUCAAUCUUUCUCUCUGAAUCUUAAGAAAGAUCUUUUUUUAAUACAGAGAAAUAAAUGUUUGGAUUUAUACCUA